CAUGGACAGGUGAAAAAUGAAAGGUGAGAGGUGACAGGUGAGAGAGGACAGGUAAACAGAGGACAGGUAUGAGGGGACAGGAGACAGGUAUGAGGGGACAGGUGACAGGUGAACAGGAGACAGGUAAACAGAGGACAGGUAUGAGGGGACAGGUGACAGGUGAACAGGAGACAGGUAAACAGAGGACAGGUAUGAGGGGACAGAGGACAGGUAUGAGGGGACAGGUGAGAGGUAAACAGAGGACAGGUGAACAGGUGACAG